rnacentral:rRNA from 1 species
AGAGCGAACGCUGGCGGCAGGCCUAAUACAUGCAAGUCGAACGGAUCCUUCGGGAUUAGUGGCGGACGGGUGAGUAACACGUGGGAACGUACCCUUUGGUUCGGAACAACUCAGGGAAACUUGAGCUAAUACCGAAUGUGCCCUUCGGGGAAAAGAUUUAUCGCCAUUGGAGCGGCCCGCGUCUGAUUAGCUAGUUGGUAGGGUAAAGGCCUACCAAGGCUACGAUCAGUAGCUGGUCUGAGAGGAUGAUCAGCCACACUGGGACUGAGACACGGUCCAGACUCCUACGGGAGGCAGCAGUGGGGAAUCUUGCGCAAUGGACGAAAGUCUGACGCAGCAACGCCGCGUGAGGGACGAAGGCUUUCUGAGUUGUAAACCUCUUUCGACAGGAACGAUUGUGACGGUACCUGUAGAAGAAGCACCGGCCAACGUAUGCGCCAGCAGGCCGC